UACGUAGGGGGCGAGCGUUGUCCGGAUUUAUUGGGCGUAAAGAGCUCGUAGGCGGUUUGGUAAGUUGGAUGUGAAAUCUCCAGGCUCAACUUGGAGGGGUCAUUCGAUACUGCCAUGACUAGAGUUCGGUAGGGGAGUGUGGAAUUCCUGGUGGAGCGGUGAAAUGCGCAGAUAUCAGGAGGAACACCCGUAGCGAAGGCGGCACUCUGGGCCGGAACUGACGCUGAGGAGCGAAAGCGUGGGAGCGAACAGG
rnacentral:rRNA from 1 species